rnacentral:rRNA from 1 species
UACGUAGGGUGCAAGCGUUGUCCGGAAUUAUUGGGCGUAAAGAGCUCGUAGGCGGUGUGUCGCGUCGGCCGUGAAAACCUGGGGCUUAACUCUGGGCGUGCGGUCGAUACGGGCAUCACUGGAGUUCGGCAGGGGAGACUGGAAUUCCUGGUGUAGCGGUGAAAUGCGCAGAUAUCAGGAGGAACACCGGUGGCGAAGGCGGGUCUCUGGCCGAUACUGACGCUGAGGAGCGAAAGCAUGGGUAGCGAACAGG